GGGCGUGUGUUGGAACUGGUAGACAAGGCAGACUUAGGAUCUGUUGAGUUAACACUCGUGUGGGUUCAACUCCCUCCACGCCCACCA
rnacentral:tRNA from 1 species